rnacentral:ncRNA from 2 species
AAGUCGGAAAAAUGGAUCCGUAACUUCGGGAAAAGGAUUGGCUCUGAGGGCUGGGAUUGGGGGUCCUAGUUCCAAACCCGUUGACUGUUGGCGGGCUGCUUGAGCUGCUAACAUGGCGAGAGCGGACUGCCUCGUGUCGGCCGGGGGAUGGACUGGGAAUGGCUCUUUCGGGAUCUUUCCCCGAGCGUCAAACAGCCAACUCAGAACUGGUACAGACAAGGGAAAUCAGAAUGUUUAAUUAAUACAAAGCAUUGCGAUGGUCCCUGCAGAUGCUAACGCAAUGUGAUUUCUGCCCAGUGCUCUGAAUGUCAAAGUGAAAAAAUUCAACCAAGCGCGGGUAAACGGCGAGAGUAACUAUUACUCUCUUAAGGUAGCCAAAUGCCUCGUAAUCUAAUUAGUGACGCGCAUGAAUGGAUUAACGAGAUUUGGUG